rnacentral:rRNA from 1 species
CAGCCGCCGCGGUAAUACGGAGGGUGCAAGCGUUAUCCGGAUUCACUGGGUUUAAAGGGUGCGUAGGCGGGCAGGUAAGUCAGUGGUGAAAUCUUCGAGCUUAACUCGGAAACUGCCGUUGAUACUAUCUGUCUUGAAUAACGUUGAGGUGAGCGGAAUAUGUCAUGUAGCGGUGAAAUGCUUAGAUAUGACAUAGAACACCGAUUGCGAAGGCAGCUCACUAAACGCUCAUUGACGCUGAGGCACGAAAGCGUGGGGAUCAAACAGGAUUAGAUACCCCAGUAGUCCCUGUCUCUUAUAC